rnacentral:rRNA from 1 species
AUUGAACGCUGGCGGCAGGCCUAACACAUGCAAGUCGAACGGUAGCACAGAGAGCUUGCUCUCGGGUGACGAGUGGCGGACGGGUGAGUAAUGUCUGGGAAACUGCCCGAUGGAGGGGGAUAACUACUGGAAACGGUAGCUAAUACCGCAUAACGUCGCAAGACCAAAGUGGGGGACCUUCGGGCCUCUCACCAUCGGAUGUGCCCAGAUGGGAUUAGCUAGUAGGUGGGGUAAUGGCUCACCUAGGCGACGAUCCCUAGCUGGUCUGAGAGGAUGACCAGCCACACUGGAACUGAGACACGGUCCAGACUCCUACGGGAGGCAGCAGUGGGGAAUAUUGCACAAUGGGCGCAAGCCUGAUGCAGCCAUGCCGCGUGUAUGAAGAAGGCCUUCGGGUUGUAAAGUACUUUCAGCGGGGAGGAAGGCGGUGGAGUUAAUAACUUCACCGAUUGACGUUACCCGCAGAAGAAGCACCGGCUAACUCCGUGCCAGCCGCCGCGGUAA